GAUGAACGCUAGCGGCAGGCUUAAUACAUGCAAGUCGUGGGGCAGCAUGAGUAGCAAUACUUGAUGGCGACCGGCAAACGGGUGAGGAACACGUACACAACCUUCCUUCAAGCGGGGAAUAGCCCAGAGAAAUUUGGAUUAAUACCCCAUAAUAUAUUUGAUAAGGCAUCUUAUUAAUAUUAAAGCUUCGGCACUUGAUGAUGGGUGUGCGGCUGAUUAGAUAGUUGGCGGGUAACGGCCCACCAAGUCUACGAUCAGUAGCUGAUGUGAGAGCAUGAUCAGCCACACGGGCACUGAGACACGGGCCCGACUCCUACGGGAGGCAGCAGUAAGGAAUAUUGGACAAUGGACGAAAGUCUGAUCCAGCCAUGCCGCGUGAAGGAUUAAGGUCCUCUGGAUUGUAAACUUCUUUUAUAUGGGACGAAAAAAGGGCAUUCUUGUUCACUUGAUGGUACCAUAUGAAUAAGCACCGGCUAACUCCGUGCCAG
rnacentral:rRNA from 1 species